AGCAACAUCCUGAAGACACAAAUAUAAAGAAUAACAGGUUAGAGCCAAUAUUCAGCCUCUAUGUUACAACACAAGGACACAGACAAUAUGGUUCAUAUCACCUGGAGAAGCAGACCAUCUUCUACAAAUGCUACAAAUCAUGACUAAACAGUUAAAUCUCAAACAUCAAGUUUAACACCCCCCCAAGUUUUUUUUUAAACACAAGCCCCGUCAGAAUGCCCAUGUGGGAGACGUUGAAACUAUUUACAUCAGUAUUCUUAUUGAACAGUUGAAUUUACUGUUGAAAAUGAUAUUAUCCAUGACUCUGAAAAGACACUUUUAAUCACAGUAUCACUUGCAAAGAUUUCAAAUGACAACAACUAUGGAUGGACUUACAAUACUGCUAUAUAUUAUCAAUAUUUUGAAAUAAUUAUGAUCAUAAGCUUUUUUUUGUUUUUGAAGGAGUAGGUGCCAUCCAAUAUAUAGAUGACAUUUUUCUUCUAAAACUGUGCUCCUUGGUGAUUCAUAUAAUGCAAGUUCCCAGUUCUUGUCUCUUUGAUAGUAGAUAAAAACAUACAGGCUACACACAUAAAUACAUACAUUGUCCGGCCAAACAAAUUUGAAUUUGUAUGCCCUGCUAUAAAUUUUGAAUGGCUGAUGAAAAACAAGCUUAUGUGGAUUCUACACAUUUAAACAAUUUGGAUAAGGUAUCUAGAAUUAAUUAAGGGGCAGAUAAAAUACAUAAAAUAAUUUAUUAAUCAAUUAUUAUUUUGACCUAACCCUUUUCUUUAUCUAAAGGCUGAAACAUGAGGUUUACCAUUUUAUGAAACCUUAUUAAAGAUUUUUUUUUUUUUACAUUUCAUAUGUUAUUAUAUAAACUUGUCAGUCAUGUUUUGUUAAACAUGUUUGUACAUUUAGAACUAUAAUUAUACUUAACCAUUAUAGUAAACUGCACUUACCUCCUGCCUUGUGUUGUUAUUUAGAAGUUUUUGGACGAUGAUGUCAGUGCUGUAAAACAAAUGUUCAACAGUUUUGACCAUGAGAUUCAUAGAUUUACACUUCAAAUUAAUAACAGUAUAGGGUGUUGGUUGACUGCCCCUUUAAAAAUUAGCCAGUGUUACUACAACAACAAAAAAACAUGAUUACUGUACUUAAAACCAUGUUAAACACAAGUUAACUAUGGUUUCAAACAUUAAUACAUUAACCAUGUCUUAUCCAUGAUAUUUGUAGUAAAACUGUCCAAUACAAACAGUAACCAAACUGCCAAAAAUAUGGUUAAAUACAUUUGGUACUACACUUUACUACAAUAAAACCAAAAUGGUUGAUUUUGGCAAGGGUGGGAGAAAAUCGUCCCUUAAGCGCGAUAAUGGACCUUUAUCUCACUUCCUAUAUCCGGUAAGCGAAGCAGUGUAUCCCCACUUCCGGUCCCAUUGCAACGCAAUGAAAACCAAUGCGAGGAUCCUCUCUUUCCUUUCUUUUGCCUUUGUUACUGCAGUGUACCUGGCUCCUUUUAUUCUAAACAAUGACACACUGCCUCAGUUUUCACGAUUUCCUGACACAACAAUUUUUUAAAAUUGCUGUAUACUACUGUAUACAGCCUCAUUGGCGGCGUUCUAUUGAGGCUGUUUUAUUUUCCUCAUUUACUAUAUUUGGAUUGACACGAUUUGCCCUACACCAUGUCUACAACGCCGUAACAGCUUGGGACAGACUACACUGGAUGUGUUGCAUCGCUUGUAAUGACUGGAAAAUCCGUUUGUCCGUCAUGUCAGACACAGCGCCAGCGCUUGAAGUAUAUCUACGCUGAAGCAGCGGGCAGCGUCGCGGCGUUUGCCCGGGGGAUGAACCCGCGAGAGUGGAAGAGUUCCGGAGAACAUCCGCGCUGUGUGUCGCCGCAAUUUACGAGAGAUUAAGACCAGCAAGUAAGAGACCAACGCCACGUUGCACCACAGACUGUCCAGGAGUUGGCGGAUGCUUUAGUCCAGGUCUGGGAGGAGAUCCCUCAGGAGACCAUCCGCCACCUCAUCAGGAGCGUGCCCAGGCGUUGUAGGGAGGUCAUACAGGCACAUGGAGGCCACACACACUACUAAGCCUCAUUUGGACUUGUUUUAAUGACAUUACAUCAAAGUGGGAUCAGCCUGUAGUGUGUUUUUCCACUUCAAUUUUGAGUGUGACUCCAAAUCCAGACCUCCAUGGGUUAAUAAAUUUGAUUUUCAUUGAUAAUUUUUGUGUGAUU